AUGCACGCUGGCGGCGUGCCUAAUACAUGCAAGUCGAGCGAACAGAUGAGGAGUUUGCUCCUCUGACGUUAGCGGCGGACGGGUGAGUACCACGUGGUUAACCUACCUAUAAGACUGGGAUAACUUCGGGAAACCGUAGUUAAUACCGGAUAAUAUAUUGUACCGCCUGGUUUAAUAGUGAAAGACGGUUUUGCUGUCACCUAUUGCUGGAUCCGCGCCGCAUUAGCUAGUUGGUAAGGUAACGGCUCACCAAGGCAACGAUGCGUAGCCGGGCUGAGAGGAUGAUCGGCCACACUAGAACUGAGACACGGUCCAGACUCCUACGGGAGGCAGCAGUAGGGAAUCUUCGACAAUGGGCGAAAGCCUGACGGAGCAACGCCGCGUGAGUGAUGAAGGUCUUCGGAUCGUAAAGCACUGUUAGUAGGGAGGAACAAAUGUGAAAGUAACUAUUCACGUCUUGACGGUACCUAAUCAGAAAGCCACGGCUAACUACGUG
rnacentral:rRNA from 1 species